rnacentral:ncRNA from 1 species
UGAAAUGCUUGGAUGAAGGAUAAGUACAUCUGUCUCCCCAUUCAUACAGAGAGGUUGCGGCUGGUGGAAGCAAUCAUGGGAACGGGUUGGAAUUGGGCCUCGGAGCAUCUUUUGACGUAAAUCGGCGUUAACGAUUGAAGCUGACCUGUAUCGCAUACAGGUAAUUAGGGUGGCACCGCGGUAUAUUCGUCCCUUCC